rnacentral:rRNA from 1 species
AUUGAACGCUGGCGGCAGGCCUAACACAUGCAAGUCGAACGAGGGGCGGACGGGUGAGUAAUGUCUGGGAAACUGCCUGAUGGAGGGGGAUAACUACUGGAAACGGUAGUCAAUACCGCAUACCAUCAGAUGUGCCGAGAUGGGCUUAGCUAGAUUGUGGGGUAACGGCUCACCAAGGCGACGAUCCCUAGCUGGUCUGAGAAGAUGACUAGCAACACUGGAACUGAGACACGGUCAAGACUCCUACGGGAGGCAGCAGUGGGGAAUAUUGCACAAUGGGCGCAAGCCUGAUGCAGCCAUGCCGCGUGUAUGAAGAGGGCCUUCGGGUUGUAAAGUACUUUCAGCGGGGAGGAGUUACCCGCAGAAGAAGCACCGGCUAACUCCGAGCCAGCAGCCGCGGUAAUUC